rnacentral:rRNA from 1 species
GAACGGGUGAGUAACACGUAGAUUAUCUACCUUUGGGAGUGGGAUAGCCUGUAGAAAUAUAGGGUAAUACCGCAUGAGGCCUGUUGAAGAGAUUUGGCGGGUGAAAGGAGCAAUUGUUCCGCCUGGAGAUGAGUCUGCGGUCCAUUAGUUUGUUGGUGGGGUAAUGGCCUACCAAGGCGAUGAUGGAUAGCCGGCCUGAGAGGGUGUACGGUCACACUGGGACUGAGACACGGCCCAGACUUCUACGGGAGGCAGCAGCUAAGAAUCUUCCGCAAUGGGCGAAAGCCUGACGGAGCGACGCCGCGUGAACGAUGAAGGCCGAGAGGUUGUAAAGUUCUUUUCUUGGUGAAGAAUAAAUGUAUGAGUGGAAAGCGUACAAGAUGACGUUAGCCGAGGAAUAAGCCCCGGCCAAUUACGUGCCAGCAGCCGCGGUAACACGUAAGGGGCGAGCGUUGUUCGGAAUUAUUGGGCGUAAAGGGCGUGUAGGUGGUUUUAUAAGCCUGGUGUUAAAAUCUCUGGCUCAACCAGAGUCGUGCGCUGGGAACUGUGAGACUAGAGUUCAGGAGGGGAAGCUGGAAUUCCUGGUGUAGGGGUGAAAUCUGUAGAUAUCAGGAAGAACCACCGGUGGCGAAGGCGAGCUUCUAGCCAUGGACUGACGCUGAGGCGCGAAAGCGUGGGGAGCGAACCGGAUUAGAUACCCUGGUAGUCCCCGCUGUAAACGAUGUGCCCUGGGCGUAGGAUUCUUAUAGGAUUCUGUGCCGUAGCUAACGCGUUAAGUGCACCGGCUGGGGAGUAUCUCGCAGGGGUGACCUCCCCGGACUUGACGGGGGCCCGCACAAGCGGUGGAGCAUGUGGUUUACUCCGAUGAAUCGCGAGGAACCUUACCGCGCUUUGACAUGUUCCUGGCAUGUCGCCGACAUGUUGGCAGCUCCGUUACAAGCGGGUACACAGGUGCUGCAUGGCUGUCGUCAGCUCGUGUCGUGAGAUGUUGGGUU